rnacentral:rRNA from 1 species
GAUGAACGCUGGCGGCGUGCCUAAUACAUGCAAGUCGAGCGAACAGACGAGGAGCUUGCUCCUCUGACGUUAGCGGCGGACGGGUGAGUAACACGUGGAUAACCUACCUAUAAGACUGGGAUAACUUCGGGAAACCGGAGCUAGUACCGGAUAAUAUAUUGAACCGCAUGGUUCAAUAGUGAAAGACGGUUUUCCUGUCACUUAUAGAUGGAUCCGCGCCGCAUUAGCUAGUUGGUAAGGUAACGGCUUACCAAGGCAACGAUGCGUAGCCGACCUGAGAGGGUGAUCGGCCACACUGGAACUGAGACACGGUCCAGACUCCUACGGGAGGCAGCAGUAGGGAAUCUUGCACAAUGGGCGAAAGCCUGACGGAGCAACGCCGCGUGAGUGAUGAAGGUCUUCGGAUCGUAAAGCUCUGUUAUUAGGGAAGAACAAAUGUGUAAGUAACUAUGCACGUCUUGACGGUACCUAAUCAGAAAGCCACGGCUAACUACGUG